GACCCGGGUAUGUCCUUAAACUACGUCCAAAAGAGAGAGAGGUAUGGGCACUGCGAAUGACAUCUCGCUUUGUGUGGUAGGGCACAGGACAGCAGAUGUCAUUCCAGAUCUAGAGCAGAGCCCAACUGGGGAAGUACCUCCACCUUACAGAAAACCGCAGCCAAAUAACACUAGACCCUACUCAUAGUGUUGUGUUCCUGCCGGUGAGUAAGGUUGCCAGAGCUCGAGGGAGAGGAGUGUUAGGGUCGGCAACGCGCAUGUAACUCCUCUGGAGUUGCAGGCGUACAUAGGCUACGGAGACUGCUUAACAUCAGGCGGGCCGUAUGCUUGUUUGCCACCGACGUAGUAUUAAAAAAAAAAAAAACCUGAGUCUCUGUAA